GAUGAACGCUGGCGGCGUGCCUAAUACAUGCAAGUCGAGCGAACAGACGAGGAGCUUGCUCCUCUGACGUUAGCGGCGGACGGGUGAGUAACACGUGGAUAACCUACCUAUAAGACUGGGAUAACUUCGGGAAACCGGAGCUAAUACCGGAUCAUAUAUUGAACCGCAUGGUUCAAUAGUGAAAGACGGUUUUGCUGUCACUUAUAGCUGGAUCCGCGCCGCAUUAGCUAGUUGGUAAGGUAACGGCUUACCAAGGCAACGAUGCGUAGCCGACCUGAGAGGAUGAUCGGCCACACUGGAACUGAGACACGGUCCAGACUCCUACGGGAGGCAGCAGUAGGGAAUCUUCCACAAUGGGCGAAAGCCUGACGGAGCAACACCGCGUGAGUGAUGAAGGUCUUCGGAUCGUAAAGCUCUGUUAUUAGGGAAGAACAAAUGUGUAAGUAACUAUGCACGUCUUGACGGUACCUAAUCAGAAAGCCACGGCUAACUACGUG
rnacentral:rRNA from 1 species